GAUCAUGGCUCAGAUUGAACGCUGGCGGAACGCUUUACACAUGCAAGUCGAACGGUAACGCGGAGAGAAGCUUGCUUCUCACCGGCGACGAGUGACGAACGGGUGAGUAAUACAUCGGAACGUGUCCGCUCGUGGGGGACAACCAGCCGAAAGGUUGGCUAAUACCGCAUGAGUUCUACGGAAGAAAGAGGGGGACCCGCAAGGGCCUCUCGCGAGCGGAGCGGCCGAUGACUGAUUAGCCGGUUGGUGAGGUAACGG
rnacentral:rRNA from 1 species